UUCCAAAAAUUAAAAACAAAAUCCAAAAGAAAAACACAUAUAUUCAACAAUUUUCACAUGAAUAUUCAGAAAACGAAAGUGCGAAAAUAUAUUUUCAAAGAUUAAGAGAAUUCUUACCAGAAAAUUUUAGAGAAAUUGAAAUGAAGUCGACGAUUUCCAGAGGAUAGUGAAAAAGGUGGGCAGAUUGGAUGAGCAGACUUCAAUAAUUCCAGCGUCCAUUCGUCAAUGGUUGAAAUCGCUGAAGAAAAUAGCCGCCCAAAAUCUUCCGCCGUUUAUGAAUAUCGACGCCCAGAACAUUCUGCCCAAACUCUAUUUCUUGAAUAUAAAGAUGCCGCAAGUCGUUUGGAAUUUGCACAAUAUCCGGG
rnacentral:lncRNA from 1 species